rnacentral:snRNA from 1 species
AUAUAUAUAUAUAUGUUCUCAAA